rnacentral:sRNA from 1 species
AGUUGAUGCGCAAGACGGAUUUCCUCCCAGUGCCGUUGCAUCGACUGUUCCCCUCUGGAGGCUUUUGCCUUCACAAUUCACGGGCCGCGGCUUUAUGCCGGCGGCCCUUUUU